rnacentral:other from 1 species
UUCCCUGCCCUGUUCGUGUUGAAUCGGUCGUUUUGAGCCAACGACAAUAGAACGGGAACCAGACUUCAGGUGUGGCGUGCAUGCCGCUCUUAGGAAUGGAAGCAUAAAGCGUCUGGGAAGGUACCCACUUAGAGAAACCGGUUCAAAAGAUAACUUUUCACACGGCAGGUGCGGGGAUU